UUGGGCUAUUUACAAUAAAUGUAUGUGUUUUCGGAAGCAGAGGUCAUGAUUUUGUUUGUGUUUUGAUGAAUUCAUUUUUGUGUUUUCGUGUUCCAUUGAAGGUCCACCCCAUUGAACAACAAUGUCACCAUUCUCCAUUGGUGCCAACAACUCCUUUCUAUCAAGGAGUUAUACAGUUUGGACAUGGAGAAAUACUACUUAAGCCUACAACGUCAAGAGGAACAAAUUAUGUGGACGAAUGAAUGAUCAUUUCAAGGACAUGGGAAGUUGUGGAAACAUCAUCUGGAGCAUUGGGAUAUGGCGUGACACACUAAAAGGCUCAACAUUUAGUCAAUUAGAUUCUAAUUAAAGUUGUAUUUUCGUUUUCUAGAAGCCCUUAAUUAAAAUUAGGUGUUUUGGACCCUUUUAGGGGCAAUUUUGUAAAGAAAAACCAUUUGUAGGACAUGUGUCUUUUAGGUUUGGAUUUUUAAUUUAUUGUGUGGACCCACCCUUUUUAAGGAGAGGACACACGACCCUUGUCCAGCCGCCACUUGCCUCUCGUUACUAGUUGGAUAUUCUCGGAUUCUGCUCUUGGUUUUUUGGGAACGUUGUUUUGCUGGAGAGAAUGGAGAGGCACAUUUGUUUUUUUUAGAAUGAAGCCCUGAUUCAAAAUUAUUUUUAGCCUUGUUUUGUGCCCGCUGAUUCAUUGAUAUUCUUCUUGUUGGCUUUGGAUAUAAGGGAAAGAAAUAUUCGAACACUCGGUCAGAGAUAAUGGGGCGUGAGCAUUUUUGCUGUGCACAUUACUCAUGAAUAAAAUUCUCUCGGUUGUUGUCCAGCAGGAAAAAGGAGUGUUUCUUUCUUUAGAAGAUGCUAGCGGUGAUGGAUUUUUGUUUUAUGGAGUUAAGCAAUAUGCGGUAGAGAAAGUGGAGUUGGAAGAAGUGAAACACGGUGUGGGGACUGGAAUGACGUGCUGGAACGCGUGAAACGAUGAGGUGCUGAUUCACUUUGCUGGAAGGAAGCACACGGAGAGCAACAGUGUGUGCGUGUUGAGCUGGAAGAAGUGAAGUGGUGUCUCGGCCUGUACGGGUGUUGGGCAGCCACUUGUUUUGUGGGUCUCGGCUUUUGAACGUUACACGGAGAAUGGAUGGGAGGCUAUGGCACGGUGCAUUCAAAUUGGCUUUGAAAGAAGUUCUCACAUGUUGAGCUGGAAGCAAGGAAGGGGGCGCUAAUUCACUUUUCUUUUUAGUAGCACAUUCGGUGAUUGAGUUUUAUUUUCUUUCUUUGAGAAGAUGAGCACGGAGAUUCAAGGGAAAGAGAUUCAGAUAUUUUAUUUCAUUUCUUUAGUGAAGUUUUACGGCUGAAUGUGGUUCUCCAAUUAGGAGAUGGCAGAAAGAGAAACACACUCUCAUUUUUUUAUGCUGGAACGGAGAUGAGGCACACAGCUCACGGCCAGCAUGAGGGGACAGCUCAAAAGCGUUUAUCUUCAUUGAAGGAGAGAAGCACGUGUUGUCACAUCCAGCAAUAGAGCUCCAAAGUUUGGUUCCUCCAGCCACUAUUCACGUGUUGUUUAUAGUACCAUUUAGUUGAUGGAUGUGCAUUUCAUUGCUUCACUCUUUAGCUAAAUCAUUGCGCUUCAGUAUAUAUUAGAUGCGUUUUCUUAUUUAUCUAGUGCAUUUUCAAUUGGUUAACGUACUUUUCACUUUAAUGUUGUC